rnacentral:rRNA from 1 species
GGCCGCGGGAAUUCGAUUCAGGCCUAACACAUGCAAGUCGAGCGGCAGCGGGAAGGUAGCUUGCUACUUUUGCCGGCGAGCGGCGGACGGGUGAGUAAUGCCUGGGGAUCUGCCCAGUCGAGGGGGAUAACUACUGGAAACGGUAGCUAAUACCGCAUACGCCCUACGGGGGAAAGCAGGGGACCUUCGGGCCUUGCGCGAUUGGAUGAACCCAGGUGGGAUUAGCUAGUUGGUGAGGUAAUGGCUCACCAAGGCGACGAUCCCUAGCUGGUCUGAGAGGAUGAUCAGCCACACUGGAACUGAGACACGGUCCAGACUCCUACGGGAGGCAGCAGUGGGGAAUAUUGCACAAUGGGGGAAACCCUGAUGCAGCCGUGCCGCGUGUGUGAAGAAGGCCUUCGGGUUGUAAAGCAAUUGCAGCGAGGAGGAAAGGUUGGUAGCUAAUAAAUGCCAGCUGUGACGUACUCGCAGA